rnacentral:rRNA from 1 species
AGUGAACGCUGGCGGUAGGCCUAACACAUGCAAGUCGAACGGCAGCACAGUAAGAGCUUUCUCUUACGGGUGGCGAGUGUCGGACGGGUGAGGAAUACAUCGGAAUCUACUUUUUCUUGGGGGAUAACGUAGGUAAACUUACUCUAAUACCUCAUACGACCUACUGGUGAAAUCAUGUGAUCUUCGGACCUUUCGCGAUUGAAUGAGCCGAUGUCGGAUUAGCUAGUUGGCUGGGUAAAGGCCCACCAAGGCGACGAUCCGUAGCUGGUCUGAGAGGAUGAGCAGCCACACUGGAACUGAGACACGGUCCAGACUACUACGGGAGGCAGCAGUGGGGAAUAUUGGACAAUGGGCGCAAGCAUGAUCCAGAAAUACCGCGUGGGUGAAGAAGGACUUCGGGUUGUAAAGAAAUUUUGUUGGGAAAGAAAAGAAGCAGGUUAAUAACACGAUGUUAUGACGGUACCAAAAGAAUAAGCACCGGCUAACUUCGUG